rnacentral:lncRNA from 1 species
GAAAGUUGUUAACUGAAGGAAGGAAAGGGGCCCACCCGGAGGAGGAAGGGCAAAAAUCUAUUUAUACACAAAACAGCUUUGCAAGGGGGAGAGGCACCUGAUAUAAAAGUUUUGGGUCACUUGAAGCAUGACAGGAAGAUGGUAAAAUGGAGCCAGAAUCUGAGAAGGCUGGGAAGAGGGGGAAGUACCAGCUGCAGAGGUUUGAAGGGCGCCAUGUCCCUCACCUCUUCAGAGCUUCUUCUCCCUGUUGCUACCGCCAAGAGAAGAGAGUCUUGACAGAUAUUUAUGAAGUACCUACUAUGAGCCAGAUACCACGUGCUGACAAUACAAGGAUCACGGACACUGCAGGCCUCACAGUCUGGAAGAAGGAGGCACAUGAGCAGGCUUUGUGAUUAAAGGAUGCAUAUAAAGGAUGCAUAUUCACCAUCUACUGUGCAUGAAGAGCUACCCACCUCUACUCUGAGUACCAGACUCUUCUCCCUAGCAGGCAGAUUUCCUUUCUACCAACCGUUUUUUAAUGUUUGUUUGCCUGAAUAGUAUCGAGACUCCCUUCUGCUGUGGAGCCCUCACUGGCCUCUUCAUUUCAGGUCAUCAGGUGGAGAGCACGCUGCAGAGAGGACUGUUCCCAUGCCCAGGAGAGGCUUGCGAGUGAGCUCCGUGUAAUCACUCACUGGCAGAAUGCAGUGCAGGGGGCUGGGGUUACAGUCAGCGAGGAGCGAGGCACGAUGAUGCUUUGGAGUGGAAGUGAGCUUUCAAAUCUCAGCAGCCCUGAGUGAUUCCUCCACUUAGGGCCAGUGUGUGUGUGAUGGGUGUGGUUGAGAGCUGCCAGGGGCACAGCAGGCGUGGCAGUAGAGGGACAAGUUAGACCAUGAGGUUGCUGGGCACAGCACUGGACUUGGUUUUUCUGUUUUUAGAAAGAGCCCUCAAAAUAGAGCAUCAUUUUUCCCACAAACAUGAUUUCACCUAUUGUCUUGAUUGUCAUUGUUAUCCAGUGUACUAAGUACUAGGGAACAGGGCCAUUUGUGAUAAUAUUAUGAGGGAAGAGAAGACAAGGCUCAAAACCCCAACUAGGAUUCUUCGGUUAGAGAGAAAGAAGUGAUUGAAUGGGAGCAUUCAAUCAUUCCUUCGUUCGACACAUACUUACUGAGCACCUAUUAUGUGCCAACACCACGCUGGUUACUAAAGCUAUAAUGAUGAAGAUGACAGAUGAAGUUGCUCCCAUCACAGAGCCCACUCUUCCAUGAAGCUAGACUGCAUGCCUACUGGGUGCCAUGCCCUCCUAGAUAACAGCCUUUGGAAGC